rnacentral:rRNA from 1 species
ACGGGUGAGUAACACGUAUGCAAUCCACCUGUAACAGGGGGAGUAACCCGGAGAAAUCCGGACUAAUACCCAUAAUAUGGGCGCUCCGCAUGGAGAGUUCAUUAAAGAGAGCAAUUUUGGUUACAGACGAGCAUGCGCUCCAUUAGCCAGUUGGCGGGGUAACGGCCCACCAAGGCGACGAUGGAUAGGGGUUCUGAGAGGAAGGUCCCCCACAUUGGAACUGAGACACGGUCCAA